rnacentral:rRNA from 1 species
GUCCUAAGGUAGCGAAAUUCCUUGUCGGGUAAGUUCCGACCCGCAUGAAAGGCGUAAUGAUUUGGGCGCUGUCUCAACAAUAGACUCGGUGAAAUUUAAAUUCCAGUGAAGAUGCUGGGUACCCGCGACAGGACGGAAAGACCCCGUGGAGCUUUACUGUAGCUUGAUAUUGAAUGUUUGUGCUGCAUGUGCAGGAUAGGUAGGAGACUUUGAAGUCGGAACGCUAGUUUCGAUUGAGUCACCCUUGAGAUACUACCUCUGUUGUAUGAACGUUCUAACUCUGAUCAGUUAUCCUGAUCGAAGACAGUGUCUGGCAGGCAGUUUGACUGGGGCGGUCGCCUCCUAAAAGAUAACGGAGGCGCUCAAAGGUUUGCUCAGAAUGGUUGGAAAUCAUUCGUAGCGUGUAAAGGCAUAAGCAAGCUUGACUGUGAGACUGACAAGUCGAGCAGGUACGAAAGUAGGACUUAGUGAUCCGGUGGUUCCGUAUGGAAGGGCCAUCGCUCAACGGACAAAAGCUACCCCGGGGAUAACAGGCUCAUCUCCCCCAAGAGUCCACAUCGACGGGGAGGUUUGGCACCUCGAUGUCGGCUCAUCGCAUCCUGGGGCUGUAGUCGGUCCCAAGGGUUGGGCUGUUCGCCCAUUAAAGCGGUACGCGAGCUGGGUUCAGAACGUCGUGAGACAGUUCGGUCCCUAUCCGUCGUGGGCGCAGGAAAUUUGAGAGGAUCUGUCCUUAGUACGAGAGGACCGGGAUGGACAUACCUCUGGUGUACCAGUUGUUCUGCCAAGAGCACCGCUGGGUAGCUACGUAUGGAUUAGAUAAUCGCUGAAAGCAUCUAAGUGAGAAACUAACCUCGAGAUGAGAUUUCCCAUUCGUCAGAAGUAAGACCCCUGAGAGACGAUCAGGUAGAUAGGCUAGAAGUGGAAGUGUAGUGAUGCAUGGAGCGGACUAGUACUAAUAGGUCGAGGACUUAACCAAG